UAAAUUAGGGUUUGUGUUAUCUUCUUUCUCCCAUUUCUCCCACCACAUGCAUGUCGCCGCUCGAUCUGCAUAUCUCUUCUCUUUUACUCAAUAUCUUCUUUUUUUUUCAAGUCAAUUUUUUUGCCAUAACCGCGAUGCCACCACCACUCGCCAUGGGCCACCAUCAAAAACCCGAUUCGCCUCUACCUUGUUGUGGCGACAAGUUGAGAAACCAUUACCGAUUUCUGCCAUGUCGCCGUCAUGACCGAUAUUCAACAACACCGGUCAAUGUUCCAUUCUUUUGAGUGUGUUACUGUUCCAUUCUUUUUUUGGUAUGGUGCUAGCUUACAUUGGUGCUUUCAUUCUCAUUCAUGACGGAGAAUACAAGAUUGAAGGAGCUCCAAGGGGGAGAUAAAGGAAUCAAUGGUAGAUGUCAAGCAAUUAGCCAAUGAAGUGGCUACUAUAGAUAGGGAUUUGAAAAGCUUGAUCGCAACUCUUCAUGAGCGUCUGCAAGACGAUUUUACUUGUUUUGAAACAUUGGAAACUUCUAUGGAUUCAGUUUUGAAAUCGAUUCAUCCUCUGGAUAUAGAGGUGUUACAUUGGAUUUUCAAGACGGAACAAGUUUUUGACUACUGUAAAACUCUCGAUGAUCAACAUUUGCUCAUUGCCUUUGUGCAUAUGGAAAAAGAGGUGGUUCCAUGAUUUCAAAUGCAAAUGGUUUCAAAUGUAAUAUUCGAGGUAUUUCCAGCAUGGUUCCUCUAACAACAUAUGUCAAGUGCUAAGUUGAAUGUCCCAGAUAAGAAGGUCACAUGUUCCUAACUAAGAAUAUCUCCUAUAAAAUAUUACUACUAGCUUAUCCAUAUGCCAUCUACAAAGUUAGAAGACAAUUCAAUAACUGAUCAUCCUUUUUGUCAAGGUCAAAUAUGAAGAAAUAGGAAAAUGUACACACUGCAAAGUUCCUGCGAUUAGUGUGCAUGAACUAUCAAUCUAUAGCAAGAAUUCCCUAACUAAGCACCUUGUAUAUAUAUGGUGGUUUCCAAAUUAAUCAGAGU